AGCGAACGCUGGCGGCAGGCUUAACACAUGCAAGUCGAACGGGCACUUCGGGGUCAGUGGCAGACGGGUGAGUAACACGUGGGAACGUACCUUUUGGUUCGGAACAACUGAGGGAAACUUCAGCUAAUACCGGAUAAGCCCUUACGGGGAAAGAUUUAUCGCCGAAAGAUCGGCCCGCGUCUGAUUAGCUAGUUGGUAGGGUAAUGGCCUACCAAGGCGACGAUCAGUAGCUGGUCUGAGAGGAUGAUCAGCCACAUUGGGACUGAGACACGGCCCAAACUCCUACGGGAGGCAGCAGUGGGGAAUAUUGGACAAUGGGGGCAACCCUGAUCCAGCCAUGCCGCGUGAGUGAUGAAGGCCCUAGGGUUGUAAAGCUCUUUUGUGCGGGAAGAUAAUGACGGUACCGCAAGAAUAAGCCCCGGCUAACUUCGUGCCAGCCGCCGCCGUAA
rnacentral:rRNA from 1 species